rnacentral:rRNA from 1 species
GAUGAACGCUGGCGGCGUGCCUAAUACAUGCAAGUCGAGCGAACGGACGAGAAGCUUGCUUCUCUGAUGUUAGCGGCGGACGGGUGAGUAACACGUGGAUAACCUACCUAUAAGACUGGGAUAACUUCGGGAAACCGGAGCUAAUACCGGAUAAUAUUUUGAACCGCAUGGUUCAAAAGUGAAAGACGGUCUUGCUGUCACUUAUAGAUGGAUCCGCGCUGCAUUAGCUAGUUGGUAAGGUAACGGCUUACCAAGGCAACGAUGCAUAGCCGACCUGAGAGGGUGAUAGGCCACACUGGAACGGAGACACGGUCCAGACUCCUACGGGAGGCAGCAGUAGGGAAUCUGCCGCAAUGGGCGAAAGCCUGACGGAGCAACGCCGCGUGAGUGAUGAAGGUCUUCGGAUCGUAAAACUCUGUUAUUAGGGAAGAACAUAUGUGUAAGUAACUGUGCACAUCGUGACGGCACCUAAUCAGAAAGCCACGGCUAACUACGUG